UCCUUGGUGGCUCAGACGGUAAAGCAUCUGUCUACAAUAGAGGAGACCCAGGUUCGAUCCCUGGGUUGGGAA
rnacentral:tRNA from 1 species